UCCAGCUCUAAGUCAGCUGACCAGGCCAUGUUGGUGCCCGGCUCAGUGUUACAGUGCUGGUAGAUGAAGUCUCUGUACCUGGGCGAAGCUGUUGCAGGCUCUGUUUUAGAGUCUCAACUCCUGAGCUGCUGCAGAGCACGGCCCAGUGAGAGUGGCCCUUCUUGAUCUAACGGCAGGAUGGGCCUAGUACAGGGCCGCACAUU